rnacentral:lncRNA from 1 species
CUUCUACAUUUUUCAACUUACAAUAACCAGUGUUACAGUAGUGUACUUGCUAUUUGGAAAGCAAAGAAGCGGAAGAAGUCAGUUGUGCAGCAAUAGCACAACACGACAACAACAGGUUCAACAACCAAAGCAGCAAACCAGUAACAAACGGUGCAGGAAGACCCCAUGAAUAGAUUUAACAACCAAGCAGAAAAUCUAGCAAUAACCAGUGAAGUAAUAACAGUACUAGUUCUGAUAUUCAGCGGUAAAGAAAAGACAUCCUUUUUACUCUUAAGUUAUGAAAUUUUUUAUCUCUCCGCUAGUACUGAAAAUAUUUUUUCUCUCUCCAAACUUUUCUCCCCCUUAAGUGACAAAUGACUUCUAAUUUAUAUCCAAAAGCAAUAACCUUUUCUCCUAUUCUUUUAACUUUUAUUAAUACCCCUUUUAUUAUUACAUACUAUUUCUGAUUCCCAAUCAACAAAAGCAGUCAAACUGGACCCCACGAUCCAAUCUCUUUUUACUUUAAUCACUAUCCUCCCCACAUAUCUUGUCCCCUCUUUUUACUUUACAUAAUUAUGUUCCCCACUAUUUUUAAACAAUUCUUUAUAAAUUUAAUUCCAAAAAUACCCCUCGAAAUUCUUGAAAUUACCACUCUACCCCAUCUCUUCAAUCUGUACCAAAAUUUAUCAAUGGCCAAACUUUGAUUUUUUUUUUUAAAAAACACCGACUUACUAUAGCUAUAACUGAAUUCCUAGUCAAAUUCAAUAAUUAAUUCAAAUAAUAAGAUGAACAUCAAAGAACCAACUAUUAAUUAUUUUGAACAACAUUCUUAACAAGCAUACUUUCGGAUUCAACAACAAUAACAAAAUUGAACAUAAAAAAACAAGUAGAUUUCAAUCACAA